GUGGGGAAUAUUGCGCAAUGGGCGAAAGCCUGACGCAGCAACGCCGCGUGAGUGAUGAAGGUCUUCGGAUCGUAAAGCUCUGUCGGCAGGAACGAUGGGCUCGUUGGCCAAUAUCCAACGGGUUCGACGGUACCUGCAAAGGAAGCACCGGCUAACUCUGUGCCAGCAGCCGCGGUAAGACAGAGGGUGCAAGCGUUGUUCGGAAUUACUGGGCGUAAAGCGCGCGUAGGCGGCUUUUCAAGUCGGGUGUGAAAUCCCAUGGCCUAACCAUGGAAGUGCAUUCGAAACUGAAAGGCUUGAGUCCUGGAGAGGGUGGUGGAAUUCCCAGUGUAGAGGUGAAAUUCGUAGAUAUUGGGAGGAACACCGGUGGCGAAGGCGACCACCUGGACAGAGACUGACGCUGAGGUGCGAAAGCGUGGGGAGCAAACAGGAUUAGAUACCCUAGUAGUCC
rnacentral:rRNA from 1 species